rnacentral:rRNA from 1 species
GAGCUUGCUCUCGGGUGACGAGCGGCGGACGGGUGAGUAAUGUCUGGGAAACUGCCUGAUGGAGGGGGAUAACUACUGGAAACGGUAGCUAAUACCGCAUAAUGUCGCAAGACCAAAGUGGGGGACCUUCGGGCCUCAUGCCAUCAGAUGUGCCCAGAUGGGAUUAGCUAGUAGGUGGGGUAACGGCUCACCUAGGCGACGAUCCCUAGCUGGUCUGAGAGGAUGACCAGCCACACUGGAACUGAGACACGGUCCAGACUCCUACGGGAGGCAGCAGUGGGGAAUAUUGCACAAUGGGCGCAAGCCUGAUGCAGCCAUGCCGCGUGUGUGAAGAAGGCCUUCGGGUUGUAAAGCACUUUCAGCGGGGAGGAAGGCGUUGAGGUUAAUAACCUUGUCGAUUGACGUUACCCGCAGAAGAAGCACCGGCUAACUCCGUGCCAGCAGCCGCGGUAAUACGGAGGGUGCAAGCGUUAAUCGGAAUUACUGGGCGUAAAGCGCACGCAGGCGGUCUGUCAAGUCGGAUGUGAAAUCCCCGGGCUCAACCUGGGAACUGCAUUCGAAACUGGCAGGCUAGAGUCUUGUAGAGGGGGGUAGAAUUCCAGGUGUAGCGGUGAAAUGCGUAGAGAUCUGGAGGAAUACCGGUGGCGAAGGCGGCCCCCUGGACAAAGACUGACGCUCAGGUGCGAAAGCGUGGGGAGCAAACAGGAUUAGAUACCCUGGUAGUCCACGCCGUAAACGAUGUCGAUUUGGAGGUUGUGCCCUUGAGGCGUGGCUUCCGGAGCUAACGCGUUAAAUCGACCGCCUGGGGAGUACGGCCGCAAGGUUAAAACUCAAAUGAAUUGACGGGGGCCCGCACAAGCGGUGGAGCAUGUGGUUUAAUUCGAUGCAACGCGAAGAACCUUACCUGGUCUUGACAUCCACAGAACUUUCCAGAGAUGGAUUGGUGCCUUCGGGAACUGUGAGACAGGUGCUGCAUGGCUGUCGUCAGCUCGUGUUGUGAAAUGUUGGGUUAAGUCCCGCAACGAGCGCAACCCUUAUCCUUUGUUGCCAGCGGUCCGGCCGGGAACUCAAAGGAGACUGCCAGUGAUAAACUGGAGGAAGGUGGGGAUGACGUCAAGUCAUCAUGGCCCUUACGACCAGGGCUACACACGUGCUACAAUGGCAUAUACAAAGAGAAGCGACCUCGCGAGAGCAAGCGGACCUCAUAAAGUAUGUCGUAGUCCGGAUUGGAGUCUGCAACUCGACUCCAUGAAGUCGGAAUCGCUAGUAAUCGUAGAUCAGAAUGCUACGGUGAAUACGUUCCCGGGCCUUGUACACACCGCCCGUCACACCAUGGGAGUGGGUUGCAAAAGAAGUAGGUAGCU